rnacentral:rRNA from 1 species
UACGGGGGGGGCAAGCGUUGUUCGGAAUUACUGGGCGUAAAGGGCUCGUAGGCGGCCACUCAAGUCGAAUGUGAAACCUCGAGGCUUAACCUCGAGCCUGCAUUCGAUACUGGGCGGCUAGAGUCUGGUAGGGGGAUCUGGAAUUCCUGGUGUAGCGGUGAAAUGCGCAGAUAUCAGGAGGAACACCAAUGGCGAAGGCAGCUCGCUACACUAUUAUUGACGCUGAGGCACGAAAGCGUGGGGAUCAAACAGG